ACAAGUAUACAAAGAGAUUGUUAUGGAAUCAUAGCUAUAUAUCAAGGAGAGCUAGCGAGUGUGGCUUAAACGUGUAAUAUAAACGAUACAUGCAGUGAGACCAUGUUCAACUCUAAUAAGAAAUUAUGUGUAAUUUUUUAUCUUUAAAAUUGUACAGGCAAAGGAGCCAGAUUAAACAAUAAAGAAGAUAAAAAAUAAAAAUAAACGAAGCGAAGUGAAAUAUCUUACUAACUUCAGGAAAACAAAUCAAAAGAGAUUCUUUAAGUAAUGUGAAUGAAAUAAGAAAAGUCUUAAACAAGUAAAUUGGAGUACAUAUCUGUUUGAAUAAAAGGGGAACCUUCCUCUAAGACUAAAUAUGAUAUAUAUGUGAUAGCGAAAAGUACCGUGAGGGAAAUGAUUGAAAUAGCAAUUUUAGAAGCAGCUCAAAAAAAGUUUAAAUAAACGAGUAGAGCGUACCUUUUGCAUAAUGGGUCAGCAAGUUAAUGUUUGAUGCGAGCAGUAUAAAAGUUUAGAAUUAAGAGUUGCUUUACAUAUUGCGUAGAUAAAACAAUUAUGAUAUAAUGAUGCAGUAUCAAAUAUUAGACCCGAAGCUUAGUGAUUUUACUACAAUCAGGAAUAUAAAAGUCCGAACGGGUUAUCGUUGUAAAGAUAUCCGAAGAAUUGUGGUAAGUUAGUGAAAGACAAAACUGACUAAGAUAGCUGGUUUUCUGCGAAACCUAUUUAAGUAGGUAAUUUAAAUAGAAUAUCAGAAGGUACAGAAUUGUGAUCUCAUGCAACUAGUACUCAUUCUCCUGUUAAUUCAGGAAAAGGAAUCAAAUGCUUUUUGCGGACAUUGGGGGGUCGUGAAGACUCUAUCAGUGAGUAUUUGUUCUCGGAAGGACUAGAUAUGAAUAUUGAAUUGUCAGACAUAGUGCGAUAAGGUUGUAUGUCUAAAGGGAAACAGCCCAGAACAAGAGUUAAUAAGGUUCCAAAAUUAUUGUUAAGUGAAAUUAAGGGAGUAUUUAUUCCAAACAACCAGGCAAUAGGCUUAGAGGCGGCCAUUUUCUGAAGAUCUCGUAACAGAGCACUGGUUUAAAGCAUAAUGUUAAUAAGGAUAAAAGCACCGAUCAUUUAACGGAUCUAAAUAAUAUACCGAGACCUUGUCCAAAUAUAUUAAUGUAUUUAUACAUUACAUUGUAUAUGUGGGGUAGCAGAACAUUGGGGAAGUUUAUUAUUAUGUCUUUAGAAGGCAUAAUAAAAUUUAUAAGGGGUAUUUUUUAUUAAUUUACCUAAAUUUUAACAAGCCAAGCGAAAAUGCUGACAUGAGUAACGAUAAAGGGGAAGACCCUCGCCUAAAGCUUAUGGAAUUUAAUUAAAGUUACGGCCUCUAAGUUUAUUAUAUAUUUAAUUAAAAAAAAAAUACUUUAUUUAUUCCCAAAAGGGGUAAACGAUGAGCAAAUCUAAGAUUUAUAGAAAAUACCAUUUUUUCUUUUUAUUUUCUUCAUCAGAAAUAAAUGUAGUGACAAAUGUUCUGGAAAACUAUAUAUCUCGUUUGCUAAACAGUAAUAAACUAAAUGAGAUGACAUGUUUAGCAAAUGCUUUACCGUACCUAAAUACUAACACAAGUAAGCAAGUAGAGUAUACGAAGGCGUUCGAGUUAACAAUCAUUAAGGAACUCGGCAAAUUGACUCGCGUAACUUCGGGAGAAGGUGGGCCGUCCCUUUUGAUUAAUAUCAGAUAUGGGAUAGGAGGCACAGAAUGGUGUUGUACGACUGUUUAAUUAAAACAAAGCACGCUGCAAAGAAAUAAAUUCGAAGUAUUGAGUGUGAUGUCUGCCCGAUGGUGGCUGGUUAUCGGAUUUGCUUGGUUGACUAAAAUAAGCCAGGCUUUGAAGGAACCCCCUUUCAAUGGCGGCCUUACAGAUGAGGGUCCUAAGGUAGCGUAAUACCUCGGCCGUUAACUGCGGUCUUGCAUGAAUGGUGUAACGAUACAACAGCUGUCUCAAUGAUUGGCUCGGUGAAAUUGUAAUAACUGUGCAGAUACAGUUUACCUCUAGUUGGACGAGAAGACCCUAUGCAGCUUUACUGUUGCUAGUUACCGAAUAUGAUAAGAUGAGUUUUAGUAAAUAAGGUAAUUGCUAAGAUAUAAUUGAGACACCUUUACUUCAUUUAUCAUAUUAUAUAAACCUUACAUACUGGACUAACGAGUUUAUAGGAACAAUUGCUAGGUGGCAGUUUAUGCGGGGCACAGACCCCACAAAAAGUACCUGGGUGUAUCCAAAUUCAUUUUUGUAAAAUUGCGAUAUGCAAUUAAACGUGUACACACUUGUUUCAUAAAAUAUAAGAGUCCUACAUGUUUUUUAUUUUUAGUCUGAAGUUGGUCUUAUUUUAAUAUAUUCUUUAUAUUUUAUUGCUAAUUCAGUUACAUAUCUAUUUUAAGUUGGAACUUUUUUUUUUUUAAUUUGAAGUAAGAUUUUCACUAUUAUAAAGUAUAGAUGUAAUUAAAUUGUUCUUUAUUUGUUGUUAGACAAAACCCGAUAAAUCAUACACAACUACAUUAAAGAACCAUUUUUGUUAUUUAUCAGAGACUUUUCUAGAAAUAUUAUUUUAAAGAUAUCUGCUUAAAUGAUAAUUAUUUUACUUAUCAAGUUUAACGGCUUAAUCUUGCUUUACUGUUUGACUUACAUGUCUUUCAGUCGCGUAAGCGGGGCAUAUUAUCACAAGAUGCAGAAAGGAAAGGUCUUGGAUUAUUGAAAAAGCUACGCUAGGGAUAACAGGCUAAUUAGCGCAAGAGAGUUCAAAUUGGGUGCGGAGUUUGGCACCUCGAUGUCGGCUUAACUCAUCCACAUGAAUGCAGGAGCCAUGAAGGGUUCGCCUGUCCGUCGAUUAAAGAGUUACACGAGCUGGGUUAA
rnacentral:rRNA from 1 species